rnacentral:rRNA from 1 species
AGACUGUCUCCUUUUUCAAAUCAGUGAAAUUAAUCUCCCCGUGAAGAAGCGGGGAUACCCAUAUAAGACGAGAAGACCCCAUGGAGCUUCAAACCCAACUACACCCCUAGCUCUUAUAGCCCCACAACCCCCCUAGGCACCGUGUGCUUGGUUUUAGGUUGGGGCGACCGCGGAGUACAAUAAAACCUCCACAAUGAAUGGGAACACCCCCUUAUCUGAGGGCCACACCCCCUAAGAAUUAGAACACUAACAUAAAAUGAUCCAUUACUUGAUCAAUGAACCAAGUUACCCUGGGGAUAACAGCGCAAUCCAUUUCAAGAGCCCCUAUCGACAAAUGGGUUUACGACCUCGAUGUUGGAUC